rnacentral:rRNA from 1 species
UGGGGAAUAUUGCACAAUGGGCGAAAGCCUGAUGCAGCGACGCCGCGUGAGGGAUGACGGCCUUCGGGUUGUAAACCUCUUUCAGCAGGGAAGAAGCGAAAGUGACGGUACCUGCAGAAGAAGCGCCGGCUAACUACGUGCCAGCAGCCGCGGUAAUACGUAGGGCGCAAGCGUUGUCCGGAAUUAUUGGGCGUAAAGAGCUCGUAGGCGGUUAGUCGCGUCUGCUGUGAAAACUCGAGGCUCAACCUCGGGCUUGCAGUGGGUACGGGCUGACUAGAGUGCGGUAGGGGUGACUGGAAUUCCUGGUGUAGCGGUGGAAUGCGCAGAUAUCAGGAGGAACACCGAUGGCGAAGGCAGGUCACUGGGCCGCAACUGACGCUGAGGAGCGAAAGCAUGGGGAGCGAACAGGAUUAGAUACCCUGGUAGUCCAUGCCGUAAACGUUGGGCACUAGGUGUGGGGUCCAUUCCACGGAUUCCGUGCCGCAGCAAACGCAUUAAGUGCCCCCGCCUGGGGGAGUACGGCCGCAAGGCUAAAACUCAAAGGAAUUGAC